AGCUGGAGUAGCGUCUUGGGAAAAGGCCAACUGACCACCCUAAUUUUGUCGUUCCAAGUCUGCAGAGCGCACAUAUUAAGUAGUUGUUACUGACAUCUUUAGGCUCCGUGAGUGAAAUGCAGCAAGCCUGCCCCCAGCAGCCUGUGGGCUAAUCCUGAGCUGUUCCUUCGUUUAGGUACACAGGUGACCCUGAAGUUCCCACUCGGCCCUCUGUUUUCUGAGUCCUGUCUCCUCUGUAGCACAGUGGGGAUUGUUCUGAACCGUGGCACGCCUUCUUGGCGAGGCAGGCUCUCUUAUGGAACCAUAGUCUGUUACCUCAUUUCUUCCAACUGCUCUGUCCCCUAAAUGUGUGUUCCCAGGUGCAGUGCAGCAAGGGUGCUCGCUGUUGGCCUUUGAGAGUGGAGGUGGCUGUAUCGGAGUGUGCUCCCCCUACUUUUUCCCUUGCCCCGAGUGGCAGUUCUUUUCCUCUCUGUUGCCGGAUGCUGUCUAGGGCCUGUUAGUUGCUAUUUCCUUGCCUCCGCUCCCCUUCCCACUAGCCUUCUAACUACCUUUUAUUCUCGGCUCCAACUCUUUCAAUGAUGAGGUGAAUGCUUUUUCUGUUCCACGUCACUGCAAAGUCAAGGUGUCCAGCAUGCUCUCACUUAUAACUGCCUCACCCGAUCUCACGCACAGUGCGAGAGCUGAAGGUAAGCCCCGGAUGUUGCCAGAUUACGGUGGACAAAUAAAAAACAACUCUCCAACAGCAACUCACAAAUGCAUGAAAUGUUUUAACCUCUAGACAGACUGCCAGAAUUUCUCUCUUCUAAUUCCUA
rnacentral:lncRNA from 1 species